rnacentral:rRNA from 1 species
UACGGGAGGCAGCAGUGGGGAAUAUUGCACAAUGGGCGCAAGCCUGAUGCAGCCAUGCCGCGUGUAUGAAGAAGGCCUUCGGGUUGUAAAGUACUUUCAGUCGUGAGGAAGGUGUUAAGGUUAAUAACCUUAGCAAUUGACGUUAGCGACAGAAGAAGCACCGGCUAACUCCGUGCCAGCAGCCGCGGUAAUACGGAGGGUGCGAGCGUUAAUCGGAAUUACUGGGCGUAAAGGGCACGCAGGCGGUUAAUUAAGUUGGAUGUGAAAUCCCCGGGCUUAACCUGGGAAUGGCAUUCAAGCUGGUUAGCUAGAGUCUUGUAGAGGGGGUAGAAUUCCAUGUGUAGCGGUGAAAUGCGUAGAGAUGUGGAGGAAUACCGGUGGCGAAGGCGGCCCCUGGACAAAGGACUGACGCUCAUGUGCGAAAGCGUGGGGAGCGAAACAGGGAUUAGAU